rnacentral:lncRNA from 1 species
UUAGUGUUGGCGAGAAAGUUGAGGAGAAGAACAUUGCUUUCUCUUUCUUCCUCCUUCUUAUGAGUUCUUGGUGACUGCUCAUCUAAUGGGGAAGAGCACCAUCAAGAUAGACAAGGACAUCAUGGUGAUUCUUAGGCUGAAGAAUCUUACUUCGAGCAUAGGCGGCAGCACAACUUUGGCAGUUUCUAAAGGAGCAGGAGGUGGCAGAUGGAACGACAAAAGAUCAUGAUGAGGGUGCUCCAUGUCCAGGGUGAGGGAUUUGAGCAAGGCCAGAUGUUAUCAGUGUGAUGAGU